rnacentral:rRNA from 1 species
CCGGCGACCGGCGCACGGGUGAGUAACACGUAUGCAACCUGGCCGUCACAGGUGGAUAACCGGAAGAAAUUCCGACUAAUACAGCAUAACACUCCUGAGGGACAUCCCUUGGGAGUCAAAGGAGGCAACUCCGGUGACGGAUGGGCAUGCGGCGCAUUAGGUAGUUGGUAGGGUAACGGCCUACCAAGCCGACGAUGCGUAGGGGUUCUGAGAGGAAGGUCCCCCACAUUGGAACUGAGACACGGUCCAAACUCCUACGGGAGGCAGCAG